GGAGCCAUAGGUUAAAUAAAGAAAACCUUGGGCCUUCAAAGCCUAGAAUGAGAGCGUCUGGCUUCG
rnacentral:tRNA from 1 species